rnacentral:tRNA from 1 species
GGCCCCGUCGUCUAAUGGCCAGGACACCACCCCUUCAAGGUGAGAAUACGGGUUCGAUUCCCGUCGGGGCUA